GCCGCGGUAGCUCAGCUGGUAGAGCAACGGACUGAAAAUCCGUGGGUCGCCGGUUCGAUUCCGGCCUGCGGCACCA
rnacentral:tRNA from 1 species